UUGAACGCUGGCGGCAUGCUUUACACAUGCAAGUCGAACGGCAGCGCGGGCUUCGGCCUGGCGGCGAGUGGCGAACGGGUGAGUAAUGCAUCGGAACGUGCCCAGUAGUGGGGGAUAGCCCGGCGAAAGCCGGAUUAAUACCGCAUACGACCUGAGGGUGAAAGCGGGGGACCGAAAGGCCUCGCGCUAUUGGAGCGGCCGAUGUCGGAUUAGCUAGUUGGUGGGGUAAAGGCUUACCAAGGCGACGAUCCGUAGCUGGUCUGAGAGGACGACCAGCCACACUGGGACUGAGACACGGCCCAGACUCCUACGGGAGGCAGCAGUGGGGAAUUUUGGACAAUGGGGGCAACCCUGAUCCAGCCAUGCCGCGUACGGGAAGAAGGCCUUCGGGUUGUAAACCGCUUUUGUUCGGGAAGAAAUCCUCUGGGCUAAUACCCCGGGGGGAUGACGGUACCGGAAGAAUAAGCACCGGCUAACUACGUG
rnacentral:rRNA from 1 species